rnacentral:rRNA from 1 species
CGGACGGGUGAGUAACACGUGGAUAACCUACCUAUAAGACUGGGAUAACUUCGGGAAACCGUAGCUAAUACCGGAUAAUAUUUUGAACCGCAUUGUUCAAAAGUGAAAGACGGUCUUGCUGUCACUUAUAGAUGGAUCCGCGCUGCAUUAGCUAGUUGGUAAGGUAACGGCUUACCAAGGCAACGAUGCAUAGCCGACCUGAGAGGGUGAUCGGCCACACUGGAACUGAUACACGGUCCAG